GAAGAGGCCUACAUGAUACAGCAAAGAACUGAGGCCCUCAGUCCAGCAGCCAGUGAGGAAUUAACACCCUCAAUCCAACAACCUGUGAGGGAAUCAAGCCUGCUAAUGAUCAGAUAAGUGAACAUGCAAGUCCGUCCUUCAGUGCCAAUUGAGUCUUUUCUUUUUCUUGGGAUAGAAUCUUAUUCUGUCACAAAGCGGUAUGAUCUAGGCUCACUGCAACCUCUGCCUCCUGGGUUCAAGUGAUUCUCCUGCCUCAGCCUCCCGAAUAGCUGGGAUUAUGGGCACGUGCCACCACACCCAGCUAAUUUUUGUAUUUUUAGUAGAGACAGGGUUUUUCCAUGUUGAUCAGGCUGGUCUCGAACUCCUGACCUCAGGUGAUCCACCCACCUCAGCCUCCCACAGUGCUGGGAUUACAGGUGUGCACCACUACGCUUGAACUGAUUUUUGUAUUUUUAGUAGAGAUGAGGCUUCAUCAUGUUGGCCAGGCUGGUCUUGAACUCCCGGCCUCAAGUGAUCCACCCACCUCAGCCUCCCAAAGUACUAGGAUUACAGGUGUGAGCCACUGCACCCAGCCCCUACUUGAGUCUUAAGAUGAGACUGAAGGCCUGUCUGACAGUUUUACUGCAAUCUCAAAAGAGACCUUGAGCCAGCAAGAUCCAGCAAAGCCACUCUGGAUCCCUGAGCCACUGAAACUGUGAGGAAUGAACGUUCCCAAAUUGGAGCUGUCCAGCAAUAAGGUGGAUUGCCUUUGAAGAAGCUGAGUUCCUUGCCAUAGGAAGUAUUCAAGCAGAAAGGUACAAAGACUCAACGACAGAGUGCCAGAGAGGAUGUCUUAUGGAGAUGGUUGACAUAAACCUCUCUAACUGCAU
rnacentral:lncRNA from 1 species